rnacentral:rRNA from 1 species
GACGAACGCUGGCGGCGUGCCUAAUACAUGCAAGUAGAACGCACAGUUUAUACCGUAGCUUGCUACACCAUAAACUGUGAGUUGCGAACGGGUGAGUAACGCGUCGGUAACCUGCCUGGUAGCGGGGGAUAACUAUUGGAAACGAUAGCUAAUACCGCAUAAUAUUGAUUAUUGCAUGAUAAUUGAUUGAAAGAUGCUAUUGCAUCACUACCAGAUGGACCUGCGUUGUAUUAGCUAGUAGGUGAGGUAACGGCUCACCUAGGCGGCGAUACAUAGCCGACCGGAGAGGGUGGUCGGCCACACUGGGACUGAGACACGGCCCAUACUCCUACAGGUGGCAGCAGUAGGGAAUCUGCGGCAAUGGACGAAAGUCUGACCGAACAGCGCGGCGUGAGUGAAGAGGGUUGUCGGGUCGGAAAGCACGGUUUUAAGGGAAGAACGGGUGUGAGAGUGGAAAGAAGACACUGUGACGGUAUCGUACCAGAAAGGGACGGCUAACUACGUG